rnacentral:RNase_P_RNA from 1 species
UGAGUUAGCCGGACGGUCGCAUCGGUUUUGCCGAUGAGGAAAGUCCGAGCAUCAUAGGGCAGGGCGCAGGAUAACCCCCUGUGAGGGUGACCUCAAGGAAAGUGCAACAGAAAUAAACCGCAUAGAAUUUUUUAUGCAAGGAUGGAAAGGCGAGGUAAGAGCUCACCGGCGUUUUGGCGACAUUACGCGCUAUGUAAACCCCGCUUGAUGCAAGAGAAUAAGGACGCAUAGGCUGCCCGUCUUGUCCUUAUAAAUCGCUUGAGCGCUCCGGUAACGGCGCGCCUAGACAGAUGACCGCCCAAGACAGAACUCGGCUUACAGACUAAUCUCACAAU